UCAAGCCCAUCGGCCUGCUGACAGCCUAUCCUUGCAGCUCCCAGCAUGCAGCCGGUUCUAGGCUAUCAGUAGGACAGCUGGAGUGAGAGAUGCUCAUUAUGGGCUUUUGACUGCAGACGCCGGAACCACCGGGAGCAGAUGCGCAGAAUGGCACCGAAGCUGCGGCAGGCCUGUAAUGGAGCCGAGAUGCUGAGCGCAGGUGACACGUGUCCUGUGAACUCAGGGGGUGUAGGAUGGUAUUGGAAGCCUACCGCUGCUGCUCCAGAGAUCUGCCCAGAUCAUAGGCUUCUUUUUAACACGACCCCGACACGACAGGGAAGCCCAAAACUCGCCUCUAAUUGGCAAGCCAUUCAUUUCACAUUCAGAUUGUUGUUUCACUGCAGUUCUGUUCUUUUUCUUACAGAUCUGAAAUGGCAGAAUACUUGGACCUGAACGUAUCCAGUCCUGUUUGAUACUCUAAUUUUGACCACAGAAAAAGGGUUUGACAUCAGUCAGUUGGGACACAAGAUGGACCUGUCAUAGCCGUAGCAAUAACACGCUGGGCUGGCAGAUGCUCCCUCAUUCAUAGUGUCCAGCUCCAUCUGCCCUUGUUUGAUGACACCAGUUAAACGGCAGUUGGACCCAUGGUGCAGUGCCUGAUAACAGGGCCCCAUGACACAGCUCCAUAAUGAAGCCCAUUUCGACCAUUCAUCCUGUGCUAAAUGGCUGUAUAU